CAGCAGCGACGUCGACUAGCCAUACUCCUCACAACUCCUGUUUCGUAGCUUAAUCGAAGUCACCUGAAGGACGGCUUUCCUCUGCAACGGCAAGACUCGCACUCCUCUCAUAAUCGUGAAGUUUAACAAGUUUCGCGGCUCAAACAAGAGGCACCUGU